rnacentral:lncRNA from 1 species
AAUGUCUUUACCACCUCUCAGAGGGACUUAAAUUUCAGCUGUCUGAGCUUGACUAAUUAUUGAGGUAGAGUUAAAAGUUGUUCGGUGCUCAGAGAGGACAGGGGAAAUAAAAGCAGCGAACCACAAAACUAUGUCAGGAAAGUUUACUUUUCAUGGUCAUUGAAUUAACGAAGGAACAAGCCAGCUCCGGCCCAUCUCUGUCUGUCUUCACGUCACCCUGGGCCUCCCUGCCACAAAGGGAGACAUAUUUGUCAGACCCAGACACUUUUGAACAACAGAAUGCUCCUUUAUUAGAAUAAAAGACCUCAGUUUUAUUUCCUGGGAUUGAAUAACCAUGGCCAACAGUUUCUUAUAGACAACAGUUUUCAUUGAAGUCAUAUCAUACUAUUGCAGUGAGCGAAACAUCCCACAGAAUUUUUGUGAAUGAAAAAGGAAAAGUUCCCAUGCUGUUCGUUUAAGAAAAUGUGAAAGUUCACUGUUAAUGUGAACAGUAUUGUUUAUGUGAUUGUGCAGGUGAACAACCAAGGAUCUGUACAGGAAGCCUGUGUGACAGAGCUGGCUGGCACAGAUGCUGACAUUACAUCACAUCACAAGUUUCAGCAUAUCCAGAGCAAAGAUGAGCAGGUGCUUGGAGCAGGGGUAGAACGGGGACAAUCCUGCUCUUGCCGUAGACAGAAAGUGGUGCUUUGACCUCCUCGUCCUGUUGCUGUGAUAACGUCGUGGGUCUCCCAGGACUGCAGGGAUGAACAGGACCCAUUGCUGCAGCCCCUACCCAGGAGCUUUUCAGUGCAAUGCUUGUGUCUAUAACAGGAGAGCACUUAGGGUAGAAGUUACAGAUUCACACUGAAACACAGCUCUUCCUGGGUCAUGAGCCUGCUGGUCUUCAGAUUGGAACUACACUAUCAGCUUUCCUGUGUCUCCAGCUUGCUGACUGUGAAUCUUUGGACUUGGGACUUGUCAGCCUCCAUAAUUUAUUGAGCCAAUUUGGUAUAAUAAAUCUCUCUCUCCCUCUCUCUCUGUAGGUAUAUAUUAUUUGUUCUGUUUCUCUGUAGAACUCUAGUAUAUCCCUUUCCCAGGGUUUGUUGUUGUGGCUAUUUGUUUGUUUAAUGACUUUCUUGAAGUAAUUCAUACAGUUGUACUCUUUGUUGUGUGCUGCCCAUGUAGUCUCUACUUGGUUAGUUUAGUGGUCAGCUAAUGAUUGAACAGACAUUUGCUUAAAUUCCAGGACCAAUAAAUCUCCCUCCCACACUUUGCUGAGAGGCUGUGUGUGUGUGUGUGUGUGUGUGUGUGUGUGUGUGUAUGUGUUGGGACACACCUUCAAUUCUAGGGAAGUUCACAACUCUGCCUUAGUCUUCACUUCUUGCUUGUACAGAACUAACUCUCAGCUAGAGUUGAGAGAUUAGGGCCUCUUCAGGUCUUUCCUGAUCAUACACACAGUCCUGCAAAUGCACAUGGCUAUCUAGAUUCCCAGGAGUAUGUCAAAACUUUUCAAAAUCUCCUACAGACCUCUAAUGACCCACACUUACCAUUUAAUUAUUUUGGUUAGCCUCUUGUUUGCCCCAGCUUGGAGUACUGCUUCAUGCAGCUGCAAUAAUAAACAAUUGCCACUGACUGUUUUCAACAAAUGGUUUGGGUAUUGAGCUUUUCUCAUGGAGUGAACUCUGAGUCAGGUCAAAUAAAGAAAAUCUUUCUAAUUUUUUUUAAGGGAGCUGACAGAUCAAACAGUGGUAAUUCUCUCCGUGUAAGGCUUUUGGAGGAGAUCCAAACCCAGCCCUGUUCAGUGGCUGCCAGGAUUUUGGUUUUCACAGCCACCAUGACUGUGAGGCUCCCAGAUUUCAAAGCUACCACAUAGUUGGAGAGAGGAAAACAGGAAUGGAGCAAGUUAAAACACCACAAAAUGUACUAUUCUUAUCAAAGUUUAGCCCUUUUUUUUGAAUAAAUGCUUCUCUAAUUGUUGCAAGUCUUUGGUUAAUUUCCAAAGUUCUGAAAAGGUUAAUUUUGGCCAUUUGGGGCCAGUUUUUAAAUUGCUUUUAUAUACAACAGAUUUUGUCAGGUUCUUACUCUGCCAGUUUAGAAGUGCUUCCUCUAUUCUGCAAGUUUUACACGUUCAAAACUUUUGUCUGUCAUCUUUACACUUGCUGGAAAUAAAAGUUUGGCUGAAUAUAACAUUUUAAA